CCUACGGGAGGCAGCAGUGAGGAAUAUUGGUCAAUGGGCGCGAGCCUGAACCAGCCAAGCAGCGUGCAGGAUGACUGCCCUACGGGUUGUAAACUUCUUUUAUAAAGGAAUAAAGUUAGAUACGUGUGCCUUUUUGUAAGUACUUUAUGAAUAAGGAUCGGCUAACUCCGUGCCAGCAGCCGCGGUAAUACGGAGGAUCCGAGCGUUAUCCGGAUUUAUUGGGUUUAAAGGGUGCGUAGAUGGAUUGUUAAGUUAGUUGUGAAAUGUUGGGGCUUAACCGUAAAAUUGCCAUUGAUACUGGCAGUCUUGAGUACAGUUGAGGUAGGCGGAAUUCGUGGUGUAGCGGUGAAAUGCUUAGAUAUCACGAAGAACUCCGAUUGCGAAGGCAGCUUACUAAACUGCCACUGACAUUGAUGCUCGAAAGUGUGGGUAUCAAACAGGAUUAGAUACCCUGGUAGUC
rnacentral:rRNA from 1 species